AUUGAACGCUGGCGGCAGGCCUAACACAUGCAAGUCGAACGAGUGGCGGACGGGUGAGUAAUGCUUGGGAAUCUAGCUUAUGGAGGGGGAUAACUACGGGAAACUGUAGCUAAUACCGCUUACCAUAGGAUGAGCCGACGUGGGAUUAGGUAGUGGGUGGGGUAAAGGCUCACCAAGGCGACGAUCCCUAGCUGGUCUGAGAGGAUGAGCGGCCACACUGGGACUGAGACACGGCCCAGACUCCUACGGGAGGCAGCAGUGGGGAAUCUUGCGCAAUGGGGGCAACCUGACGCAGCCAUGCCGCGUGAGUGAAGAAGGCCUUCGGGUUGUAAAGUUCUUUCGGUAGCGAAGCGUUAUCUACAGAAGAAGCACCGGCUAACUCCGUGCCAGCAGCCGCGGUAAUAC
rnacentral:rRNA from 1 species